GAUGAACGCUGGCGGCGUGCCUAAUACAUGCAAGUCGAGCGAACGGACGAUAAGCUUGCUUCUCUGAUGUUAGCGGCGGACGGGUGAGUAACACGUGUAUAACCUACCUAUAAGUCUGGGAUAACUUCGGGAAACCGGAGCUAAUACCGUAUGAUAUUUUGAACCGCAUGGUUGAAAAGUGAAAGACGGUCUUGCUGUCACUUAUAGAUGGAUCCGCGCUGCAUUAGCUAGUUGGGAAGGUAAUGGCUUACCAAGGCAACGAUGCAUAGCCGACCUGAGAGACUGAUCGCCCACCCGGGAACUGGACCAGGGUCCAGACUACUAAGGGAGGCAGCAGUAGGCAAUCUUCCGCAAUGGGCGAAAGCCUGACGGAGCAACGCCGCGUGAGUGAUGAAGGUCUUCGGAUCGUAAAACUCUGUUAUUAGGGAAGAACAUAUGUGUAAGUAACUGUGCACAUCUUGACGGUAACUAAUCAGAAAGCCACGGCUAACUACGUG
rnacentral:rRNA from 1 species